CAUAACUCCCGUACAUCACGCUCGAUCGGGUGAAACCCCGCCUCCUGUUCCUCUCUCCCAUGGAGCGCCGCCGCCGCCCACCGCGUCCCCCAUCUUACCUGCCACUCACACCUUACCUCGGUCGCCAGCGGCCUCCCCCUCCACUACAUCGCCUCUGUUCCUCUCUCCCAUGGAGCGCCGCCGCCGCCCACCGCGUCCCCCAUCUUACCUGCCACUCACACCUUACCUCGGUCGCCAGCGGCCUCCCCCUCCACUACAUCGCCUCGGAGCCCACCGCCCGAUGCCAGACGCGCGAAGAGUAGCCACACACAAGCCAUGGCUGGGACGCGCGAGGCUCCCACCGCUGCCAUGCAGGUGAGCCGCCGUCGCGGAUGCAUGAGGAGUAGUCGCCCCUUCAUGCGGGCACCCACGCGGUGUCGCCCACUUCGGCCCUGAUUCGCCGCAGCCUUGCCGACCGGGUGCUCGGCCUACUGGGCCUGGAUCCGGGCGACGGCAGAGGCGACGCCGGCCCCCGUGCCUCCACAUGAGGAGGAGGAAGAAGGCCAGGCGCGCUACAUCCCCAUCAAGGCCCUACUUCCUCUCCACCAGGUGAGUAUGCACGGCUGGUUGUACGCUAGGUAUUUGAUGACACUUCUGCAAGGAAGACAAUGCGUGUUACUGUGUUUUUUCAACCUCUCUUCUAGCAUUGUCGUUGGAGACCACGGUGAUUUGGUGACGAGAUCCAAUCUUUUACAACAUUGAUUUGACGAGCCUUCAGGCAUAGCAUGGGAGCGAUGUGGCACAUCCACCUGGUCGCUAAACUACAUUGCGCUCCGCUACUCUGAAUUCAGUCCAGAGAUCAUGGUUCAGAACCACUGGGUAUUGCUCAAACUUUUCUGGUCUCUCAGUCGCUGCUCCACAAAACUUGCAUUCAGUACAACUGGACUCUACAAGCACUGAUAUACAGCUCCAUGGUGUUAUUUGGGAACUGGUCAGACUGUUGAGAAACCCAUGGUUGGGUGUUUCGUAUCAUGGGAAGCUUCAUACAAGCUACAAGGGGCCUGAUGGGAUAAAGGGAUGUUCAGUUGAUGUUUUCAAAUCUGCAAUAAGCUUGUUGCCUUACCCUGUGGGAUGCAUUUUUUUUUAUUUCGAGAUGGAUCGGAAAAUCCAAGAUACAGUGACCUUGUACAAAAGGUGUCCAAAAAUGCGAGUAACAUGUCCAUAUCAUCGAGUCUGAAAAACUACUGCACCAUCUUUAUUUUGAUUUUAUUUAUCAGUGAUACAGGUAUAUAUAGAUGCUUUGGUCUACCCUCAACUUCAGGUUCUCUUUGAUUUUUAGUUGGUUAUAUCAUCUAGCAACGUGUGCUUAGUUGUUUGGUUUGCAACGUGUGCUUAGUUGUUUGGUUGCAAUCUUUUAUCCGCUUCUCUGAAUUGAUAAUGACAAGUUAUGUUCACCGCACCUCUGCCGCCACCGUCGAUGCCGCUUCCAUGAUGGUGGGGAAGGCGCUGGGGUGUGGGAGCUACUUUCUCGGCCUGCUGGGUUGACGGCGACAGAGUUAAUUUAGAGCACUAUGUGUAUUUCUUAUUAUCUUAUGAAACUUCUGACCAACACGGUAUCUGACACCGAGUGUUUCACAUUAUUCACAAUCUUCAAAUGUUGUGAUGUGGUCUUUGCAGAUCAUUAACUUUUCGUGUGUUCAUUUGUAUCAAGUGUUCUGGAGCUCAUACAAGCCUGGGGUGCACAUUUCCAAACCACAAUAUCUAUGUAUUGCUAGCUAUUUGUUAUCAGUGUCCUUCCAUUUUCAGCUUAAUUUCUUCUUACUUGGAAUGAUUUAAAUUCAGCCGUAGGACAUGUGGGCUUAGACCUUUCAGUUAUAUAGUUAGGCUUUUAUUUGCUAGCCCUUUCUGAAACAAGGCAAGUGCAACCAUGAGGUUUACUUUAGUACUUGUAGGGACCCUUUGAUAUUUUGAUUGUCCUAGCGAUUUCUACUAUCCCAGUCUGCAGAGCAACACAUGGAAGGCAGUCAGACAUUAUAUGUUGUACAGUUUUUUGUAACUUGAGAAACACCUGCAUGGAGCUACACCCCUGUAUUAGCAAAUAAAUAAAUAAACAUGAGAUGAGUCCGUAUGUUUCUCUUUGUGUCUCAAGUUUAAAACUAUUUUUUUUCUCUUUCUAGAGAACCACUGAAGCGUCAUCACACAUGAGAAGAGCCUGCAUGUUUUUUUUGACAAUUAUGAGUCCAUAUAGUUAGCAUGCAUACUGGCUAAUAAUCAUUAUUUUCCUAGCACGUCUUGUAAAUUCUCGGUUGCAUUCUGUAGUUGUUGCAACUGAAAUUUUCUUAAAAAUUGGAAUUUUGAAUUGUCCAGUUAGUGGAGGAAUAUAAAUGUGUGCUGACUGCAUUGCAAUGUGUCUUCUUAUGCAAUUUACAGUUCUUAUAUUAUCCAUAUUAUCCAAGGUCAAACUUGUACUAAUAUGUAUGAAUAUGGUGUAGGUUGACGCGAUCAAGUUUAUUUGUAAUAAGCAAAGAUAAUCAGAAGGAUACUGAUUUGUAGAGUUCUACAGUCAUGCUGCAACUGAAAAAGUAGUUGAUGUUUUUGUUAGGCAUAUAAUGCCAAGUACUUAUCAACUUUUUAGGAUAAGCUGGGCAUCAUUUAGCAUGGGGGAGAUGAAUUCAGAGUCGGACAUUGCUUCAGAUAAUUCCAUAUUUGUAGGCGAUCUUGCCUCUGAUGUCAAUGAUGCUGCAUUGCUGGAGACUUUCUCCAGCAGGUACUCCUCUGUCAAAGAUACAAAAGUUGUUAUUGAUGCUAACACUGGUAGAUCAAAGGGCUAUGGAUUUGUGCUUUAUCACGCAUCUGGACUUGUUUCCCUUCUUAAUUUGUUUGGGGGGGAGAUUCAUUCAGAAUAUAGUUCACACUUCGCAGUAUUUAUGUGCAAAACUGUUUUUGCUC